rnacentral:lncRNA from 1 species
CUGUUAAUGUGAUAUAUGUCACCAAGAGCCAAUGCACGUCGAGUUUAAGGGGGACUAUCGAACAUGCACAGCCCAAGGCACAGUGGGUCAGUCUUUCGCAAGACUUAAGCAAUGGCAGGCAAAACUAUAAAGCAAGCAGCAAGUUGUAACAAUUUUAUAUAGUAACAGGUCCAAAUAAUAAUAAUGAUGCCAAAACAAUUUACAAAUAAAUAAAGUCC